GACGAACCGUGCGAACGUUGUUCGGAAUCACUGGGCUUAAAGGGCGCGUAGGCGGGUCACCAAGUCCGGGGUGAAAUCUUUCGGCUUAACCGGAAAAUAGCCUUGGAUACUGGUGGUCUCGAGCGAGGUAGGGGCAGCUGGAACUUCCGGUGGAGCGGUGAAAUGCGUUGAUAUCGGAAGGAACGCCGGUGGCGAAAGCGAGCUGCUGGACCUCUUCUGACGCUGAGGCGCGAAAGCCAGGGGAGCAAACGG
rnacentral:rRNA from 1 species